rnacentral:rRNA from 1 species
UACGUAGGGUGCAAGCGUUGUCCGGAAUUAUUGGGCGUAAAGAGCUCGUAGGCGGUCUGUCGCGUCUGGUGUGAAAACUCAGGGCUUAACCCUGAGCUUGCAUCGGGUACGGGCAGACUAGAGUGUGCUAGGGGAGACUGGAAUUCCUGGUGUAGCGGUGAAAUGCGCAGAUAUCAGGAGGAACACCGGUGGCGAAGGCGGGUCUCUGGGGCAUAACUGACGCUGAGGAGCGAAAGCGUGGGGAGCGAACAGG